CCGACGGCAGAAAGAAAACAGAAAGAGGAACAAAGAGGUCACUUAGAAGGACGUCCUCAGUCCUGCUGCUGAGGUCGUUCUGCUCUGCUCUCCACCACCGUGCUGAGCACUGCACGGUCUGACCUUCAGGACAUCUUCUACCACCGCCAGAGAACCAUGGUUCACUUUCCUGGAGUGCUGCCUGCGAGGGACGGAGGGGAUGGGUGACAUCGUAACAAAAAUACAUAAAUACCAAAGAGUCAGGUUUGGAUUUGAAUCAAAGCUACAUUUUAAAUCCAAUAAAAAC